CGAAGUCGAAAACAGGUUUAAGCCAAGUUUGAAUCAUUGCCUCUGUUUGCUAGUACUGGGAGAAAACGUCGUCACAGACGAGGUCUGGAUGUUAAAACAAACUCUGGAGCUGCUUUUUUGUUGAACAAGAGUGAGACUGGACACCGAACACACCUGCAGCGCGAAGGUUUACUCAUUCAGCUGCUGCAGCCUGGACAGAAACACCAUCUCUCACCUUACAGACCAAACAGAUGUCACCACUUUGUCCAUGAUCACAGACAGUCUUUGUGUAAUGAAGAAGUUCUUUGAAACCAGGACUGAGGCCUCCAGGAUUCAAGCUUCAACCAUUAAAUCACAGAGAGAAGAGACAGACAUCAAGAUGUUUCGAGAAGGUCUUCAGCUGCUGUCGUCUUCUCCUGGAGAGACAAGAACACAUGUUCUGUUCAUCAUUUCAUUUUGGUAUUUUGCUAUUUCAAAUAGUGCAAUAUCAGUACUCCAAUUUAUUACUGUGUACAUAGUCCUGUUUAUACUGUUCAUAUUGUUAUACAUUAUCUUAUAUCUUGUCUUGUUUGUAUUAUGCCUUUUUCUAUUUUUGCUGCUGCAACACUGAAUUAUCUUACUCAAAUAAAUAUUUCUGAA